AUGAUAAAAAAUGGUAAAUUCGCUAGUUGUAUGAUAUUAAAAACUUGGCUAGGUGUUAAUAAAACUUUUCCAUAUAGUUAUUUAAAUAGUUGUAAAUAUUUAUCUAAAAAAAUUAAAUUUACAUUUACUGAUAUAAGUAAAAAAAAUUAUACAACGAAUGAACUAAACAGUAGUAAUACAUAUAAUUAUAACAAUGAAGAAAUUAAAAUAGCAAAACAUUUUCGAGAAACUUUUCAUGACGGUUCAGAAAAAAAUUUCGAAAGUCAUCCUUUUAAUAGAAGAUUUGCAUAUAGUAAGAAAAGUUUAUUUCCAAUAGAACCAAGAAAUUUAAGAACGUUAGGAUUAAAUAGAAGAAGGAAAAAAAAAAGAGGAAGAGGUGAUAAAUGUCCAGGGAAAGGUAUAAGAGAUAAACAUAAACAUAGAAAAUCUGGAAGACCUAAUAGUAGAACGUUUGAAAGUGGUAAAACACCAUUAUAUAGACGAUUACCAAAAUGGCCUGAAGCUUGGUUAAAUAGACAAAAAAAAAAAUUUGAUUGUUUGAAUUUAUCUAAAUUAAGAUAUUUUAUAGAAAAAGGAAGAUUAGAUACAAGAUAUGUAAUCACACAAAGACAUUUAAAUGAUUCAAAAUGUGUAAAAGUUAAAAAUGGUGUUAAAUUAUUUAACGUAAAUGAUUACCCAUUUCCGUACAAAAUCGAUAUUGAAGUUGCAAACGCAGACCAAUCUUCUAUAGAUGUUAUUAAAAAAGUUGGAGGAACUGUUACUAUUAUUUAUAUGGAAAGAGUUAAUUUAAGAGCACAUAUAAAACCAUACAAAUUUGAAAUAUUACCAAGAACAGCUAGACCUAAUCUUAAUAUGAUACAUUUUUUAGAAAAAAUGAGAAGCAGAGGAUGUAUAGUAAAAUAUAUAAAACCAUUAUGGCUAAUUGAAGAAGAAAAAAGAAUUAUUAAUGAAAUGAUAGAGUUAGAGGAAAGUUCUAUAUUAAGUGAACAAACUAGUUUUAAAAAAAAUGGUGUCCCCUUGAAAAAUAAAGAUGGAAAACUAAAUGUAGAUUAUGAAAGUUGUUAUGAUACAAAUAGUGAUAAUACUAAUGAUACUUAUACAAAUAAUGUUAAUAAAUAUAAUAACGGUGCAAACAGUGUCGAUGUAGAAGAUGAAGAUGCAAGAAGAGAAAGGCUCUUACAAGCAUACAGGCUACAAUAUACAAAACUAAAAAGCGAUCAUUAA
rnacentral:lncRNA from 1 species